rnacentral:rRNA from 1 species
UACGAAGGGGGCUAGCGUUGCUCGGAAUCACUGGGCGUAAAGCGCGCGUAGGCGGCUUUGCAAGCCGGAUGUGAAAUCCCCGGGCUUAACCUGGGAACUGCAUUCGGGACUGCAUUGCUAGAGUAUGGGAGAGGGAAGUGGAAUUUCAGGUGUAGCGGUGAAAUGCGUAGAUAUCUGAAGGAACAUCAGUGGCGAAAGCGACUUCCUGGACCAAUACUGACGCUCAUGUGCGAAAGCGUGGGGAGCAAACAGG